AGUGAACGCUGGCGGUAGGCCUAACACAUGCAAGUCGAACGGCAGCACAGUAAGAGCUUGCUCUUACGGGUGGCGAGUGGCGGACGGGUGAGGAAUACAUCGGAAUCUACUUUUUCGUGGGGGAUAACGUAGGGAAACUUACGCUAAUACCGCAUACGACCUACGGGUGAAAGCAGGGGAUCUUCGGACCUUGCGCGAUUGAAUGAGCCGAUGUCGGAUUAGCUAGUUGGCGGGGUAAAGGCCCACCAAGGCGACGAUCCGUAGCUGUCUGAGAGGAUGAUCAGCCACACUGGAACUGAGACACGGUCCAGACUCCUACGGGAGGCAGCAGUGGGGAAUAUUGGACAAUGGGCGCAAGCCUGAUCCAGCCAUACCGCGUGGGUGAAGAAGGCCUUCGGGUUGUAAAGCCCUUUUGUUGGGAAAGAAAAGCAGCAGGUUAAUACCCCGCUGUUCUGACGGUACCCAAGGAAUAAGCACCGGCUAACUUCGUG
rnacentral:rRNA from 1 species